GCAGCCCUUCUCUCCUGCAGCACCUGCACAGCCAGGCUGAGGAGAAGGCACUGGAGUCCUAUUUCCACCCCACAAGGUGAUGCUCACUGCCCACUGGCAGCCAGCCUAACUUGUAGCUAGAGCUAAUAGAGGCUUUCAGUUUCCAGGUGUGCUGUUAAAAUCUCAGCACAUGCUCUGGAUGACUAAGGAUGCUUCCUGUGGUUUAUUUAAUUUUUCUCUUUUUUCCCCUUUGCCCUCCCUUCCCCCUCCUUACGUCAGCAAUGGGYAUAAUUUGUUUGCAGAGUUCCAGGGUGUUUUAUCUUUCUUUGGCUGGCCCCAAGUGCAUGGGGGUUUGUUGAAGCAACAGCAUUCUUGAUUUCUUAGAGCUGGUAUGUGGGUGUUGGAUUGUGUCAUUCGUAGGAGGUGAACGUCAGAGGAAGUGGGAUCAACUGCUGGAGCUUUCUUGGCAUUUUCCUGUGUGCUCGUUUUCCCAUGGCUGUCAAAGGGAUCUCCAGGUCAUGAGGAAGAAAAGCUGAUGUUCCCACUGGAGAAAAUACAAUGGAAAAGAGAAAGGCAGCAGCAACCUUUGGGCAUUCARCUUCUUCCUUAUUCCCAUCACGGUAGGAUCUGCCAUCUGAUCUUCCUUUCAGCAGCCUAAGUGAAGGAGAUUUUUUUGAGUGCCCUUAAGACUCCUCAAAAGGUUAUUACUUUUCCAGUGGCAUCAGAAAGGCUGAGAUGAUCUUUGCAAUGAGGCUGCCAUGCAGGCACGUACGUCAGUCCCUCACUGACCCAGCAAAAUUUGAAUAUCUUCCCGUUUUCUUGUUGUCCCACGUCUGCCCCAUCACUUAGCAGCUGCUUGCUGUCAUGGCAUGGUGGGAUCAUCUUCUCUCAGCAGGCACUGUAAUUGUUUGUUACAAGGAGAAAGAAAACWCUGGUAAGCAGUGGUACACAUCCAGGGAAAAUGUCAGCGCUCAAACCCRAGUCUUGCUUUUCCCUCUGAGUUGUCAUAGCUGGAUCCUCUGCCCUUCCUUACAAGUGGGUUUGAGGAGGUGGUUGUUUUGGCUGGAAUUGGAGAGGCACAGGUGGUACCACCAGCUGUAAAUUGGAGGAGGCACUUCCUGAUUAUGACCACUGCCUACACACGGAUCACUGCCAAGAGAGGAGCUGCAAGGCGCACAAGCCUUCUCCUCACUCGGAAAGGGAGGGUAGUCAUCACUCCCCUCUGCUGCAGGCUUUCACCUGUACA